rnacentral:lncRNA from 1 species
UUUUUUAUGGCGUUUUCCCAAAAAUUCCCGUUUUUGCGGCAUCUCCCCCCGGCAGAAGCGGCAGAUGGCCAGCGCCGACCGCGUCACGCUCUACGGGCUGAUGGUGAAGCCCAUCCAGAGGUUCCCUCAGUUCAUCCUCCUGCUGCAGGUGAGAGAAGGGAGGUUCUGGAGGACACCAGGGAGGUUCUGGAGAAGGUCAUGAGGAGCUUUUGGAGAAGGUUUUUUGGAAGGUUCUGGAGAAGGUUUUGGUGAGCUUUUGGAGGAGGUUUUUGAGAGGUUCUGGAGAAGGUUUUGGGCAAAGAUGCAAGAUUCUGGAGAAGGUUUUUGAGGAGGUUCUGGAGAAGGUUUUGGGAGGCUUUUGGAGGAGGUUUUUGAGAGGUUCUGGAGAAGAUUUUGGAGAGGUUUUGGGCAAGGUUGCAGAGAUUCUAGAGAAGGUUUUUUGGAGGUUCUGGAGAAGGUUUUUUGGAGGUUCUGGAGAAGGUUUUGAAGAGGUUCUGGAGAAGCAGCUUUUUGGGUGAUGCAGGACAGGGCCAUUUUUAAAAAUUUUUUUUAAUAUUUUUUAUUUUUUAAAAUUUUUGGAUCCAUCCCCAGGAUCAUCUCCUAAGCUUUGAAUUUGGAGGUGCUCAAAGUGCUCCCAAUUCCCUCAGUUCAUCCUCCUCCUGCAGGUGAGAGAAGGGAGGUUCUGGAGGACUUUGGGGAGGUUCUGGAGAAGGUCUUGGGGAACUUUUGGAGAAGAUUUUG